AGGUGAGGAAGCAAGCAUGAACACUAACGCUUAAGAGAUGUAAGAAGGUAUGCAUGAAUGAGUACAUCGGAUUCUUAUGAAAAUUAAGCCGAAUCCGGAACAAGAGAAGGAGAAGGGUUAUUCGAAUGGAUCAAGUUACAUUAUCGAACGUUAUUCAAUCUUUAAUUAUUUGGGAUUAAUGUUAUAUGAUGUUGUCAUCGACUAAUGGCUAAGUUGUAUGUGAUGCCCACAGGUACUACACGGACUUCUUCUGCUGCUAAGGAAGUGAAGGGGACGUAGAUCGAGUC
rnacentral:lncRNA from 1 species